rnacentral:rRNA from 1 species
CCCUUAGAUGUUCUGGGCCGCACGCGCGCUACACUGAUGAAUUCAACGAGCUCCUAACCUAGGCCGAAGGGUCCGGGUAAUCUUUGAAAUUUCAUCGUGAUGGGGAUAGAUUAUUGCAAUUAUUAAUCUUCAACGAGGAAUUCCUAGCAAGCGCGAGUCAUCAGCUCGCGUUGAUUACGUCCCUGCCCUUUGUACACACCGCCCGUCGCUCCUACCGAUUGAAUGGUCCGGUGAAAUGUUCGGACCGCGACAAGGCGGACGGUUCGCUGUCAGCUUUGCUGCGGGAAGUUCAUUAAACCUUAUCAUUUAGAGGAAGGAGAAGUCGUAACA